CAAAAACAUAGCCUUCAGCAAAUUAAACAAGUAUUGAAGGUGAUGCCUGCCCGGUGACUUAGGUUUAACGGCCGCGGUAUCCUAACCGUGCAAAGGUAGCGCAAUCAAUUGUCCCAUAAAUCGAGACUUGUAUGAAUGGCUAAACGAGGUCUUAACUGUCUCUCACAGAUAAUCAGUGAAAUUGAUCUCCCCGUGCAAAAGCGGGGAUGUGAACAUAAGACGAGAAGACCCUGUGGAACUUAAAAAUCAACGACCACCGCGAAUCCUCAAUCAACCCCACUGGGGCCACUACCAUCGCAGAGCCUGGUCGAUAUUUUUCGGUUGGGGCGACCUUGGAGGAGAACAAAUCCUCCAAAAACAAGACCAUACCUCUUUACCUAGAGCUACCCCUCAAAGUGCUAACAGUGACCAGACCCAAUAUAAUUGAUUAAUGGACCAAGCUACC
rnacentral:rRNA from 1 species